AGGUGACCAGAACAAUGCUGGAGGGAGUGGGAGAAGGCUAGUUCUACCAAAUGGCAUCACCUAGAGUGAAGACCCGAUGGCAAUGAUGCUAUGAUCAGUUUUGGCAGGAACUAGUGAUGUCACAGGCACACAGUGGCUAUGGGGGCUUCCUACCUAUACUUUACACCCACCAGCUUGAGUUUUUGAGACCCGUGCUGGAUAUAAGGCCCACCAUGGACAACCUUGUGGGCCAAGGAGGGAAUGUCAACUGAUGAUGAACAAGCAGCCACCUGGCUAGAUUCCUCUCGUCCGGUAUUGGGAGAAGAAGAAUCCAGCCCCCUGGGGCAACCCGAUGGUCCUGAAGGACAGGAAGAGUCCUCUGCUGUGGAUGGAGUGCCAGCACUUCCAUUGAGUCCAGAACCGCACCAGUCAUGUCUGAGAAGGGGGGCUAGGCUCAAUCCUGUUUCUGGCUCAGAUACUCGAAACCUGAUUGAUAGUCAGGUGCUUGAGUAUUUGUGCCAGAAAAGGAAUUAAGGCAAGGAGGAACAGAUGAUGCAUGGCCUAGCUCCCCUAAUUCAAAACCUCUCUAAUGACAAACAAAAACUUUUUGUCAACAUUGUAUCUUUGUUAGCCGCAAUCCUAGACUCAACUAUGGAUCCACUUGAACUGGUGUGCAAUGUAGUUCACAUGAAGCACCAGGCUUUGGCAAUGUCCUGCAACCACUUGGCACUGGUUAUUGUAGA